rnacentral:rRNA from 1 species
UACGUAGGCAGCGAGCGUUGUUCGGAGUUACUGGGCGUAAGGGGUGUGUAGGCGGUUGUUUAAGUUUGGUGUGAAAUCUCCCGGCUCAACUGGGAGGGUGCGCCGAAUACUGAAUGACUUGGAGUGCGGGAGAGGAGAGUGGAAUUCCUGGUGUAGCGGUGAAAUGCGUAGAUAUCAGGAGGAACACCGGUGGUGUAGACGGCUCUCUGGACCGUAACUGACGCUGAGACACGAAAGCGUGGGUAGCAAACAGG